CCUACGGGAGGCAGCAGUGAGGAAUAUUGGUCAAUGGCCGGAAGGCUGAACCAGCCAAGCCGCGUGAAGGACGAAGGUGCCAAGCAUUGUAAACUUCUUUUGUCAAGGGACAAAAUCAGGCUCGAGAGCCUGACCGAGGGUACUUGAAGAAAAAGCAUCGGCUAACUCCGUGCCAGCAGCCGCGGUAAUACGGGGGAUGCGAGCGUUAUCCGGAUUUAUUGGGUUUAAAGGGUGCGUAGGCGUGCUGUUAAGUCAGCGGUAAAAGCCCGGGGCUCAACCCCGGCGAGCCGUUGAAACUGGCUGUCGUGAGAAGUCGAGAGGUAUGCGGAAUGCGCAGUGGAGCGGUGAAAUGCUUAGAUAUUGCGCAGAACUCCGAUUGCGAAGGCAGCAUACCGGCGGCGAUCUGACGCUGAGGCACGAAAGCGUGGGUAUCGAACAGGAUUAGAUACCCCUGUAGUC
rnacentral:rRNA from 1 species